GGAUCAGUUCGCUGGUCGUGCCUCUGGUAUGUACUGGUGUUACUGGUUCCUCCCUUCUGACGAACUGUCAUGUCAUUUAUUUGGUGUGGCAGGGAAUCAGGACUGUUACUUUGAAAAAAUUAGAGUGUUUAAAGCAGGCUCGCGCUUGAAUACAUUAGCAUGGAAUAAUAGAAUAGGACGGUGGUCCUGUUUUGUUGGUUUCUGAAUCACCGUA
rnacentral:rRNA from 1 species